UUCCUUUGAGCCCCAGUCAUGCCUGUGCAUGGUGCUGGGGAUCAAGCUGCAACUCCAGGGCACAUGCUUGUGCAUAACUGGAAUUAAAAAAAAAAAAAAGUAGUAUAUCUAACAAUGGAGUAUUACUCAGCCAUAAAA
rnacentral:snoRNA from 1 species